AACGGCCAUACCAUGCUGAAUAUACCGGUUCUCGUUAGAUCACCGAAGUCAAGCAUGAUUGGGCGCGGCCAGUACUUGGGUGGGUGACCACCUGUGGGAACACCGCGUGCCGUU
rnacentral:rRNA from 1 species